AGGAGAUACGCCAAUUUUCAUUCAUUUCACUGGUAGAAAAGAGACGAUCAAAAGUUUCAAUCCCAUCUGAUGUGACUUUCACAAGUUGUUCUAAAACACUGCCUGAAGUAAUUUAUAUCCUACCAGUUACAAUAACAUGAAAUUAAUGUUAAGUUUGAGAUUGCAAUCUCAAUGAUAAUUUAGGAGAAACCAACAUCCUGGAACUUUUAUCUCCAUGAUCUGAAAUCUGACAGCAUAAGUCAUGACAGCCCAGAUCCUUCCUUGGCAAGUGAACUUAUCAAGUUGAAAAUGAUGAUUGAAUUUCAAGCAGUCAGUUCAACUGACUAGAGUAGAAGUCACUAUCAUAUGGGGUUCUUAACAGCUGGAACUCUUGAUUGUAAUUGCUGUUAUAAUUGUUUGUAGUCAAGUUAUGCACCCGAGAGUCAGUAGACUGCUCAGUCCUCCAAUGAUCAGACGAGGCAAGUGGCACGCUUUGAGGCAUAACAUGCAGCAUGGACUGAGGCAUGCCUGUGUGACUCGUGCGUGCAGACUGCUCAUGUGAAAUGGAUUUUUGCUCACACGAACCCCAUGAGUUAGUUGACAGAAGAGAGAGAGCACGAUGAAGAUCCUGUGUCGCAUCCACAUUAGGUGAGAUAAUUGAUUCUUCUAAACCUUGGUUGAGAACCUCAGCUGUUAUGACCUUGGAUUUGGAUGGCAACAAGCUCUUGGAAUCAUGAGGAUGCAUGGGAAUGGAAGUUCUCAGAUCAUUACCAGGCAAAUGCAGCUGCCCAUCAAUACCUCCUUUUGCAGGUUUUGUUACAUAUUCUUUUGUUAUCGUGAACUUUGAGCUGGAUGUGCCUUCCCAUGUCAAAUUUUCAUUAGGCCUGGAAUAAACAAGUGGGGCCCUGUUCCAAACAAGACUCAUCUGUUGCCUCUCAUCUGCACAGGCAAACACAGAUCAAGCUGUCAAGUCAAACUGCACAAAUGGGUAUGCAUAAGCUUCCACAGUGUUUCAGACCUAGCAAUUCUCACCUUCAGAUAAAUUGUUUGCACUAACAUUGUUUGCACUAACGACAUUAAUAGCAAGUAGGAAUCACAAUAACAAAAGAUUCUGUUUAAACUAGAAAUUAGUAGCGAAUGUCUUUGUUAAGGCAAAGGGACAAAUCUACCUUAAAAUUCAUAGAGCUUCAUUUCAGAGUAUAUGCAAAAUUCAUGAAACUUAUUAAAACACAUGUCAAUAUCGAUAGCCUGUUCUUAUUACAGACCAAAAAGUCAUCAAACUCUCAAUUCAAAACCAGUACCAUAUAAUGAAGAAGACAGCCUUGCAGGAGUCAAUUGGACUGAUUCUGGCUGUGGUUUUCGACGUCUUGCAUUGUGAUCAGAAAGACGCCUGCGGCAGCUUCUCUUCUUUUCAUCAAACUCUGACAGACCAUGGAAUCUUUGACACCAAUGACCAAGAAAUCAUCAUCAUCUCAAUUGAUCAAAUGAGGUAGGAAUUAUUACUAGUAACAAAUGAGGGAAAUGCUAUAAUUCACACAAAUUACCAUAAUUAAUUGACAAGAGACAGAACAAGCAGUAAAAUGGACAAUCUGAGAUCUCAUUAUCUUCAACAUUCAAUCAUUUACUAAUUUUAUCAGAAGCCUUACCUGCUACACUGCUGGCAAAACCUGCGUUCCAGACCAGCUACAGUGACCUUUGGGGAUUUUGAAUGACUUUCACAAACUCUAUGUUUCCGAUGAUAAUCUUUAGCUGAUGAGAGAUCAAGGUUACAGCCUUCUACUUGACACCGUGAGGCUGGUGAAGCCUGACCGCUGGAUUUGGAUUUCUUUACAGGAGAAACAGAAGAUCCAGGAAUCACAGAAAAUGAUGAAGUCUUAGCAUUAUUCCCUGCACAAACAUCUUCAAAGUACGUCCGUUUACCAAGCUUUAAGCCUAGCAGAGCCUCGCCUGAGCCAACUGAAGCCUCAAGAGAAGAAGUACCAGUAGGCUUUGCCUUUGCAAGUGCUUUCUCAUUGUUGGAAUCUUCUGGAAUAGCUUCAGAGGCCUCCAAAGUAAGUUUGGAUGUUUUCACUUCCCCAACUGAUGAAGAAUUUAUGGAAGCUGACUUUGAGCUCUUUGACAAAGAAGCAAGUCCCAAAUCAGAACCAGAACCACCAGUACCACUACCACUUCCACUCCCAGAAGAGUACAAAGACCCAGAAUCAAUUCCUCUUCCCCCAUCAAUUUCCCACUCUGUCAAUCGUAACUUCUUUGGAUGUUCAGUUGUUGCAUUAAACAUCAUUAGGUUCUCCCAGUCCCACUGAAUGGGUGGUUUUGUAUUCCACUCCAUCAGUGAGGAGGAACUCAUAGAAUAAACUUCACCAAUUACACACUUUUAUAAAAUACACAAGCAAACAGACGCCAGAUCCUGUUUAAUUGAAUUAGGCAAGCCAAUCUUUAGUCCCCCUUGAAAGAAUAAAAUCCGAUCUGUCUGUUCCAGAUACUGCAGAAACAGUCCCAGUGGAUGAAGUGCCCAAAUUCACUAACUUCCACAGCUCCAAGAAUUCAACGAGAGCAACCAGACACAACUUUUAACAACACAAAAUCAGCAUCUAAAGAAGGAAACUCGCUUUCCAACACAGCAAACUCUGUUGCAAACAAUAACCCCCCAUCUCAAUUUCCAUGAACAGAUACAUCCAACCAAAACCAAUUAAAGUCACAGACUUUUUCAAUCCAGUGACUUUGAAACGUUAUCUUGCAGAUUCCCGGAACCUAAAGAUAUUGAUACAAAAGCAUCACUUCCUCUCAUAACUUGCUACCUAACAAGUUUCUCCACCAUUCAUAUCAUAAAAAACAAAUCUCCCUUUUUUUUUAAUCGGAGUAAAACUGUUCCCCAAUUCCCUGCAACACUUUUACUUUGUGGUCAAAUUCCCACAAGAAUUUUUUUACCGUUAUUUAUGAAACUCAUCAAAACAACAAUCUCUCUCUUUCUCUCUCCCCAAAACUAACCGUGAGUAGAGAAAUGUUUCACCUUUUACCAUGAAAGUGUGAUCCGUACUAAGAAAACUUCAACUGGAAUAAUUCAAAUUGAAUUUGUUCGGGCUAAAUCAAAGGUGUAGGGCCCUGAGAAAGACCCACAUCCAUUCAUCAACAAAUCUAUCAGCUAAGAGAGCAGAAAAGGCAAUUGGUUAAGUGGAAGAGGAGGAUGGAAUCUGAAAAAGAGAUUAUAUAAACGUUUAGCAGAGAGAGAGAGAGAGAAGUGAAUGCAAGGAUUUUACGUGGUUUGGCAAGUGUGCCUACAUCCAUGGACAGCCGCCUAUGUAUAAUAACCUAAUCCUUGUGCCCACAAAUAUGAUUUACAUAAUUAUCUGCAAUAAUAAAAAAUGCCAAAGACUAUCAAAACUAUAUCCUAUUUAUAAUAAUCACUCAGAAUUCCGUUACUCGUCGUAGGGCUCAGCUCCUCCCCUUUGCUGGGGCCUUCAGUGAAUGGUAAAUUUUUCUCUAGCAAAUGAGUCAUAACUCAACAUUAAAAGGUCUAAUUUCUUCUUUAAGUUUGUGAAUAUAUAGCAAGUGGUUUCACAUAUUUUUUUAAGAUGUUUUUAUUAAGGCAUAGUUGUAUUAAUGAUUGGUCUUAAGAGAUUCAUUUGUGUUCCAGUACCGUGAAAAGGAACUAGGAGUGGAGGCCUUGAAGACAGUGAAAAGAAUUAAGCAACUUUAGAUCCAAACAAUAUCAUGAACCCAGGAAAGCUCAUUCCCACCCAUGUUUGUCUCUAGGUUGGGGUUGGGGUCCUUAUUGAGAUGUGCAAGAGCUGUUUUAGUGAUCCGAAGGAUAGGUUCCUGUGAUCAUUUGUACCAUUUAGAAUAUUUAGCACUAUUUUACGGAAUUUGUUUAGAAUACAAAAGAUUAAGAUAGGCCAUAUACUGGUCGAUGUGUCCUCAAAUUGUACAAUUUCAUUUUGUGCUGAGACGCCCUAGCAUUUAUUGGUUCUUGCUGCUUCAUGUUUUCUUCACAUCAAAUACAAGACUUUGAGACUAUAAUUUGGAAAUCCUUCAUCUUUGCUGCUAAUAGACGAGGAUAAAAUAAUAAUAAUAAUAGUAUAAAUUUCUUUGGAAAUUAAAUGUGUUUAUUUUAAUUUUUAACAUUUAUUUAUUGUUCCUUCCAUGAGGAGUGUGCAAAAUUGGACUUUGUAGACUCUGGUGGGCUGUUUGUCUGUUGCUGCAAGUCAGAUUCGGCUUUUGGGCUAAGAAUCAACUGGGCCUUUCCUUCUGUCAGGAUUUUGAGGUGCUCAACCCAAGAGUGGGUUAAGCUCUCGUUGAUUUGGUUUUUCUCAACAGACAUACUCUGUAUAGAGACUCUUGCAACGACUCAAUUGUCCAUCAUAGUUUGCUUUACAAAGCGAGAUAAGAUAUGGUGAUUCCAGACAUGAUUCAGAGCUGAAGGUCAGGUAUUUUUCAGUAUAUUAAGAAAAUUUUAGGGAGAGAGAGCUGUCAGGAUUUGCUCAGCACUAUUAGCAAUAGGCUAUAUCAAGUAGUGAAGAUGAUGAGAAGAACAGGGCGGCUGGCUGGUGUUAAGGCUUGAAUUCAGACGAUGUAUUGGAUUGAACUUAAUAGAAUAUAAACAUAUAGAGACACACAGAGAGAGCGAGAGAGAUGGGUUAGAAGAUUUGGAUUAAGGCAAGAGUAGUGAGUGUGUGUGCAGUACCGGAACAUGUGAAGAUAAGGUAAUUGAGGGUUGUCGAAAAGGAGAUGAAAAGAAAGUCGCCUCCCAACACUAGCAAGUGGCAUGUAAGCUUAGUAUGAGAAGGGAAGUCAAUUGAAUGAAUGAAGACAAAACAAAAACAGGACAAAUUGCCACCCAAGAUUCUAAAUGUAAGCUUUUAAAAGUUGUUUGUUUUUCUUUACAAAGGUAUGAUAUUCAGUGGCCAGGAAUCAAAUGAUUCCUAGAUGGAAACUAAUUUUGCAUGCGUCUUAGGUUCUAUUUCACAUUAUUGUUAUGCCUAAUGUUUUAAGGAAAAAAAAUAUAUUAUUUUCAAUAUUAUUAAUUAAAAGUAAAAUCUAG
rnacentral:misc_RNA from 1 species